AGAGUUGAUCAUGGCUCAGAUUGAACGCUGGCGGCAUGCUUACACAUGCAAGUCGAACGGUAACAGGUCUUCGGAUGCUGACGAGUGGCGAACGGGUGAGUAAUACAUCGGAACGUGCCUAGUAGUGGGGGAUAACUACUCGAAAGAGUAGCUAAUACCGCAUGAGAUCUUCGGAUGAAAGCAGGGGACCUUCGGGCCUUGUGCUACUAGAGCGGCUGAUGGCAGAUUAGGUAGUUGGUGGGGUAAAGGCUUACCAAGCCUGCGAUCUGUAGCUGGUCUGAGAGGACGACCAGCCACACUGGGACUGAGACACGGCCCAGACUCCUACGGGAGGCAGCAGUGGGGAAUUUUGGACAAUGGGCGAAAGCCUGAUCCAGCAAUGCCGCGUGCAGGAUGAAGGCCCUCGGGUUGUAAACUGCUUUUGUACGGAACGAAAAGCCUGGGGCUAAUAUCCCCGGGUCAUGACGGUACCGUAAGAAUAAGCACCGGCUAACUACGUGCCAGCCGCCGC
rnacentral:rRNA from 1 species